UGCGUAACGCGUAUGCAACCUGCCUGACACAGGGGAUAAUCCGAAGAAAUUUGGUCUAAUACCCCAUAAUACCGAUAUAGGCAUCUAUGUUGGUUGAAAGCUUUGGUGGUGUCAGAUGGGCAUGCGUUGUAUUAGCUAGUUGGUGAGGUAACGGCUCACCAAGGCGACGAUACAUAGGGGGACUGAGAGGUUAACCCCCCCACACUGGUACUGAGACACGGACCAGACUCCUACGGGAGGCAGCAUG
rnacentral:rRNA from 1 species